rnacentral:rRNA from 1 species
CCUACGGGAGGCUGCAGUGGGGAAUAUUGCACAAUGGGCGAAAGCCUGAUGCAGCAACGCCGCGUGAAGGAAGAAGGGUUUCGGCUCGUAAACUUCUAUCAACAGGGACGAAAGAAAUGACGGUACCUGAAUAAGAAGCCCCGGCUAACUACGUGCCAGCAGCCGCGGUAAUACGUAGGGGGCAAGCGUUAUCCGGAAUUACUGGGUGUAAAGGGUGAGUAGGCGGCAUGGUAAGCCAGAUGUGAAAGCCUUGGGCUUAACCCGAGGAUUGCAUUUGGAACUGUGCGGCUAGAGUGCGGGAGGGGCAGGCGGAAUUCCUGGUGUAGCGGUGAAAUGCGUAGAUAUCAGGAGGAACACCGGCGGCGAAGGCGGCCUGCUGGACCGCGACUGACGUUGAGGCUCGAAAGCGUGGGGAGCGAACAGGAUUAGAUACCCGAGUAGUC